CCCAGAUUCAAGCAAUUCUCCUGCCUCAGCCACCCGAAUAGCUGGGACUACAGGCAUGCGCCACCAUGCCUGGCUAAACUCCUACUUUUAAAAAAUACUUCCUCUUCGCAGUCUCCUUCGCUUCUUCCUGAUUUUCCUCUCGCCCUAAAACUAUGGGCUUUCUCCCGUACCUCUGCACCUCCUUUUCGGACACCUGUGCUGGCCCCUUUUACUCUAGCUUUCCUGUAAAUUGUUGAAAUUACUCAGAAAUCAGGACUGGGUAUUCUUUUUCACUAAAGAAAUCUUAGAACAUUUCCAUGGAUCCUAAUAGAAACUACAGGCUAAUUACCUGAAUUAUAUAUUUUUUUUUCCAUGAUGUCCUCCAAGUUCCAGUAAGAACACUCUUGAUUUCUACGUAUUGAUGAAGUACAUGGUUGUCUUCUAGUCUCAAUACACCAUUCUCCAGCAGAACUGAUCCUUUGGAGAAAAUAAACUCUUCCCACUAUUCACAAUAGCAAAGACUUGGAACCAACCCAAA
rnacentral:lncRNA from 10 species